rnacentral:rRNA from 1 species
UACGUAGGGGGCAAGCGUUGUCCGGAAUUAUUGGGGGUAAAGAGCGUGUAGGCGGCCAGAUAAGUCCGCUGUGAAAUCUCGAGGCUCAACUUCGAGCUGUCGGUGGAAACUAUCUGGCUAGAGUCCGGAAGAGGAGAAUGGAAUUCCUGGUGUAGCGGUGAAAUGCGCAGAUAUCAGGAAGAACACCCGUGGCGAAGGCGGUUCUCUGGGACGGUACUGACGCUGAGACGCGAAAGCGUGGGGAGCGAACAGG